UACGGGGGGGGCGAGCGUUAUUCGGAAUUAUUGGGCGUAAAGGGUGCGUAGGUGGCGUCGUAAGUCGGGUGUGAAAUUUCGGAGCUCAACUCCGAAACUGCAUUCGAUACUGCGGUGCUUGAGGACUGGAGAGGAGACUGGAAUUUACGGUGUAGCAGUGAAAUGCGUAGAGAUCGUAAGGAAGACCAGUGGCGAAGGCGGGUCUCUGGACAGUUCCUGACACUGAGGCACGAAGGCCAGGGGAGCAAACGGG
rnacentral:rRNA from 1 species